UACGAAGGGGGCUAGCGUUGCUCGGAAUCACUGGGCGUAAAGCGCACGUAGGCGGAUCUUUAAGUCAGGGGUGAAAUCCCAAGGCUCAACCUUGGAACUGCCUUUGAUACUGGGGAUCUCGAGUCCGGAAGAGGUUGGUGGAACUGCGAGUGUAGAGGUGAAAUCGUAGAUAUUCGCAAGAACAACCAGUGGCGAAGGCGGCCAACUGGUCCGGUACUGACGCUGAGGUGCGAAAGCGUGGGGAGCAAACAGG
rnacentral:rRNA from 1 species